GACGAACGCUGGCGGCGUGCUUAACACAUGCAAGUCGAACGGAAAGGCCUGCUUUCCCUUGUGGAUUGCGGGUACUCGAGUGGCGAACGGGUGAGUAACACGUGAGUGAUCUGCCCCCAACUUGGGUAUAAGCCUGUGAAACUGGGUCUAAUUCCCGAUAGGACUGCAGGGUGGUGCCUGUGGUGGAAAACGAUUUUCUAGUGGUUGGGGAUGAGCUCGCGGCCUAUCAGCUUGUUGGUGGGGUAAUGGCCUACCAAGGCGGCGACGGGUAGCCGGCCUGAGAGGGUGGACGGCCACAUUGGGACUGAGAUACGGCCCAGACUCCUACGGGAGGCAGCAGUGGGGAAUAUUGCACAAUGGGCGGAAGCCUGAUGCAGCGACGCCGCGUGGGGGAUGACGGCCUUCGGGUUGUAAACUCCUUUCGACCGCGAGGAAGCCACCUGGUUGGAAGGGUGGUGACGGUAGUGGUAGAAGAAGCACCGGCUAACUACGUG
rnacentral:rRNA from 1 species